rnacentral:lncRNA from 1 species
AUCUCUGGUUGGAGAUCCCUCCUUGGUGUAGCUUUCCCCUGUGAACCUGGAAUCUUCUGAAGCAGAAAUACCUGUGCCGAGGUCAUAAAAUUCACUGCAUCUUGCAGAAGUAGUUUUCCUGUACGAAAUAUUUAGAAUAAUUCCCAAUCCAAUGUAUAAUUUCAGAUUCUAUCUGUAAAUAAUAUAAAGUCUGACAAGGGCUUGAAAAACCUGAACUUGUACUUUGGAAUGCCUAAGAAAAUGGGUGACAUUUAAAAUGCACAGCAAGAGAUACACAGGAAAACAGUUAUUUCUGGAUAUUGGUAUACAGAACGAUUUUCUUAAAUACAGCAUUCUUUGCCUUUGGGAAGGUGUUAAAAAUGAUUUCAAAUUCUCUGCAAUAGAGAAGAGCAAUUUUAGCAACAGGCCCAUGUACAGAUGUAAUGUGAACAGUGUCUGGGGAGAAGAGGAAAAAAGGAUGGCUCAAUCAUACAUCCCAGUGCUUAAGCACUGCAGCAAAUAGUGCUGAUGGAGCUGUGAGAGAGAGGCUUUCACUUUCCCGUGGCAAAUCUCUGUUUUAGCAACUGCAGGCAAAAAGGAUCAAAUAUUUACCUUGGUAUUUAGCAAAAUAAACUCAAGUUCUAA